rnacentral:rRNA from 1 species
UACGUAGGGGGCAAGCGUUGUCCGGAAUCAUUGGGCGUAAAGAGCGUGUAGGCGGCCCGGUAAGUCCGCUGUGAAAGUCCAGGGCUCAACCCUGGGAUGCCGGUGGAUACUGUCGGGCUCGAGUCCGGAAGAGGAGUGUGGAAUUCCUGGUGUAGCGGUGAAAUGCGCAGAUAUCAGGAGGAACACCAGUGGCGAAGGCGGUGCUCUGGGCCGGAACUGACGCUGAGGAGCGAAAGCGUGGGGAGCAAACAGG